rnacentral:tRNA from 1 species
CGAGGACAUAGCUUAGUUGGUUAGAGUAUUGGCCUGUCACGCCAAGGGUCGCGGGUUCGAGUCCCGUUGUUCUCGA